rfam:Triticum aestivum genome assembly, contig: Triticum_aestivum_CS42_TGACv1_scaffold_094713_2AL
CUCAUACUCCCUCCGUCCGGAAAAACUUGUCCCUCAAAAUGAUGUAUCUAGCAUCAAGUUAGUGCUAGAUACAUCCAUUUGAGAAACAAGCUUUGCACAAGUUUUUUCGAACGGAGGGAAUACGAA